UACAGAGGUCCCAAGCGUUGUUCGGAUUCACUGGGCGUAAAGGGUGCGUAGGCGGUCCGGUAAGUCUGGUGUGAAAUCUCACAGCUUAACUGUGAAACUGCAUUGGAUACUAUCCGGCUCGAGGAAUGGAGGGGAGACUGGAAUACUUGGUGUAGCAGUGAAAUGCGUAGAUAUCAAGUGGAACACCAGUGGCGAAGGCGAGUCUCUGGACAUUUCCUGACGCUGAGGCGCGAAAGCCAGGGGAGCAAACGGG
rnacentral:rRNA from 1 species